rnacentral:rRNA from 1 species
GAUCCUGGCUCAGGACGAACGCUGGCGGCGUGCUUAACACAUGCAAGUUGAACGAGAAUCACUGGAAGGAGUUUUCGGACAACGGAAGGUGAGGGCAGUGGCGGACGGGUGAGUAACGCGUGAGGAACCUGCCUUUCGGAGGGGGACAACAGUUGGAAACGACUGCUAAUACCGCAUGACACAUAGAGAUCGCAUGGUUUUUAUGUCAAAGAUUUAUCGCUGAAAGAUGG